UUCUAAUGUUACUGCCUCUCUGAUUAUUAUAAAAAGGUCAUUUUUCUGGACUGUGGCAUUGUCCAUAUAGACUCAGGGAAAGACGGAAGAUGAUGUCCUCAUAUCAGCUCCUUGGGCUUCUGCUCUUCUGGGUAUCAGCCUCCAGAGGUGACAUUGUGCUGACUCAGUCUCCAGCCACUCUGUCUGUGACUCCAGGCAGUAGUGCCACCAUAACGUGCAAGGCCAGCCAGGAUAUUAGCACGAGCUUACACUGGUACCAGCAAAAGUCAAGUGAGGCUCCAAGGCUUUUCAUCAAGUAUGCUUCCCAGUCCAUCACUGGGAUACCCUCUCGGUUCAGUGGCAGUGGAUCUGGAACAGAUUUCACACUCAGCAUAAACAAUGUGGAGUCAGAAGAUUUUGCCAUUUACUACUGUCAACAGAGUUACAGCUAUCCUCCCACAGUGAUGCAGACCAUAGCAAAAACCACCAGGGAAGCAGAAAUGUGAGGCUGGGCUGCUUCAUCUGCCUCUGAUUGUGCUACCAACUUCUUCAAAGUGUUUUGUAGAUGCAGACAGUCUUGUGGUUUACAAGUAGAAGUGGGAAGAAGAAACCCAGAUAACUCUCUUGCCUUUGAUUUCUCUUUAGCCAGUUUCAGUUUCACAAUGCAUAAGCUUCAAUGGCUGUAUUUUUUUUUUUUUUUUGGUUUUAUGAGAUAGGGUUUCUCUGUAUUGUUUUGGAGGCUGUCAGGCCAUCCCGGCCUCGAACUCACAGAGAUCCGCCUACCCCUGCCUCCUGAAAAGGCGUGCAUCACCACAGCCAAGCUGGCUGCAUUGUUUUAAUUAGAAUAUUCCUCACAUAUACUACAACCCAGAGAAAAUCUCAGCAUGGAUGGACAGAGGAAAUGAUUGAUUCAAUGCUCUUAAAAUUGUUGGAAGUGGAUAUAAAUUACUGUCUGAACCUUUAGCAUAUAAUUUGCUCCUGACCCACAAAGAUGAGAGCUGAGAGCUCACUGUUUUACUUCUUAGUUGCUAAUUUCUCUAUGCUUACAUUAUAGUGGGUGAACAACUCUUUAAUAUAAACUGUUCUUCAUGUUUAUUACAAACAUUGUUAUAAUCAAAUCAGGCUCCAAGGCUUCUCAUCUAGUACAGUUCCUUUUCCAUCUCUGGGAGCCUCUCAAGGUGAACUGGUAGUGGAUCAGGGACAGAAUUCUCUGUUAUCAUCAACAAUCUGGAGCCUGAAGAUGUUGGAAGUCAUUUCUGUCAGCACGGUAACAGCUGCCUUCCCUGAGUGAUGUAGACCAUAGCAAAACCUACCAAGGAAGCAGCCACUGUGAUUAUAUAUAUAUAUAUAUAUAUAUAUAUAUAUGUGUGUGUGUGUGUGUGUGUGUGUGUGUGUGUGUGUGUGUGUGUGUGUGUGUGUGUGUGUGUUAGGGUUAGGGUUGCAUAUAUACUGCUAUCACUAGAGAGGUUAAGACCAUGCUGGGAUACCCAUAGAAAUAGCUGACUGGAGCAAGUGGGAAGCUCAUGGAUCCCAGUCUGGCAGGUGGGGAACCAACUUAAGACUGAAUUGUACCCCUUUAAUGUGGGGAGAAUUGGGCAGUCUGUGGGGCCUCUGGUAGUGGAAUUACCAUUCAUCCCAAGUGCAUUAAUGGGCUUUGGGAGGCCAUUCCAUUUGGAGGGAUACUGUCUUAGCUUAGAUACACUGGGGUGUGGGACAGGAAUGUUUGGGUGGUGAGAUGGGGACAUUAUAGGGAGAAUAAAAUGAUGAGAGGGAAAGGGAAUUGAUUUGUAAAAUAAGAUUGUUUUUAAUUUAAAUAAAAAUUAAAUAAAUAAAUGAAAAGAUUGUUUACCAGUGAAAGGUAUGUAAAUUUUUGAACAGGGGCUUGGAAAUGGACAAUUAUUAUAGAGGUAAUUUUAGCUUAGUAAAGAAAGAAAUCUGAGUAUUCUUUGAUGAUUCUACAAGUAGAAGUACAUUGAAAUAAUAAAUGUUCAUGCCUGAAGUAAGAGGGCCAUCAUCAAGGAUGCUGUAUCAUAUGGUAAAACUAACCAGUGACAAGACAAAUUUGUAAACAUGAUUAAAAUUUUAAAGUUGGUGGAGUGGGAUAAAUUGUGUCUCUAUACCUAGUGCCUGGAAUAUGGAAUCUGGUGAGUUCUCUAGCUGAGCCAAGCCUGGUCUAAGUAGCAAGCUUCAAGACAGCCAAUGCUACUUUGUGAGUGUCUGUCUCAAAAACAAAUAGAAAGGAAAAAUAAUUUUAAAUUAGGUGCUUGUGCAAUUUUGUUUCCUACCCUAUUUAUAAUUUGAGAAUUACUCUGUGUGUGUGUGUGUGUGUGUGUGUGUGUGUGUGUGUGUGUGUGUAUGUGUGUGUGGUACAGAUUAUGGGGGGUUAAACGAGGUGAUAGUUGAUUGUGGAUUCCUCAUAUAUCACUCUUCGUUUUUACUUAUUUGAGAUAGGAUCUCUGGCUUAAUGUUUCUUUUUCUUUUUGGCUAGAAUAUCUCAACAGAGUGCCACUUUUAUCUUCAUGUUUGCAUAUACAAAUCCUGGCCUUAUAAAUGUGUGUGGUUGAACCUAGACUUUAUGCGAUGUUGGGUUUUGGAGCUCAGGGUUUCAUUGUUUUGCAACAAAUAGAUACUCAUUAAGCUAUAUCACUGAAUUGAAAAUAAUUUCUUAAACAUAAAGAACAUCUUGACCCUAAGAACUAGUCACUUGUUAAUAUACUUUUUACCAAUAACAAUUGACUAUUUUUCCUGUUCACAAUUAAUUAGUGAUGUAUGUCCCAGAUAUAUGUGUUGUGGAUACCUUCUAGUCAUAGCAAUACUGAUAAUUUUACAAUAUUUUUCACAAACAUUUUCCUGUACAUUUAUAAUUAGAGAGUGGGUACCAGAAUUAAGAUUUUAGCCAAUGUUAUAAUUGUAUUUCAACAGGUAAAGUUUUGUGGUUGAUUAUGUCUUUAUGCAAGCUCAUUAAUUCAUACAACCUAGGACCAUAAUUCAGGGAACAUCCUAUGAAAUAGAUUCAGACUAUGAGAUAUGAUUUCAUAAGCAUGAAUCACAAGAAAUAAUGAAGAGACAUUUUAUGAGAAUUAAUCUCUGUUUCUGCGAAAGAAAAAGCAUAGGCUCUCUAAAAAUGUUUCACGUAUUUUAAAAUUUUUUUCAGCAAAAUUAGAUAAGCUUCCUAUCUUUUGACAAUGAAAAUUUCUCAAAAUUUACUUUUUCUAUCUUAAACUAUGACAAUUUCACAAUCACGUAUAGUAAGCUGUAGGACUUUUCUAGCUAAAUAACAUUUCUCAUUUCUCCCUCUGUCUGACCACUCAAACACUUCACUAUGACAAGUCUCCACUUUUUUUCCUUACCACUGAGGUUGUUUGUGAUGACUAAACUUGGGGUUCUAUUAUUUUAAGAAAUAUGUUAUAGGUCACAUCAUUUAAUAACUUGAUGCCCAUUCCCCUACACAUUUCAGCCCAUACUCCUUCAGUGAGGGCUAGGGUCUCAUCAGCUCAUCUGCUAUGAAUGAUUAAUGUUGGCAGUUCCACCCUUGCUCACUUGUUUUGGUUCAGGCAACUAUAACUGCAGUGAACCCAGGGAUACAAAACAACCAUACCAGAUAGUCUUUAAAGACCUAUGAUUUUCCCAGGCAUGGACUUUGUACCAAGUUUAUAGCAUAAAUCAUAGGUUACAUCUGACAGAGUUAGUCACUAAUCCAAUGAUAAAGCAGUUGGUAAUCCAUGCAACAGGCAUAGCACCAUUGCACUGUUGAGUACAUCUUGCCAGUAUAUCAUCAUACCUCUAACUUAUUGGGUCUAUAACUGGCAAGAUUACUGAUGUCUUCUUUUCCAACAGUUGUGUAGUACCUUCCUGCAUUGUGAAAACUAUCCAAUGGAGAGGAAUAUUAAAGCCAGGUAACCACUGAAGAAAUAUACCAAAAUAUACCAUAUUUACUAAGGUACACAAAAUAACCUACACUUUAUCAUAAGCUAUGGAAUGGAUUUAUGUUGGAUGAUCUUGCCAUAAUUUUGACCAAUGUCAUAUCUAAUCAUGCAUGUGGUUAGACUGUUUCAAAGGUUAUGUAUAGUAAAUGUGUUCUUGGCUAAUACUUCAUCCAAUCUGCAUGGUUUUAUCUGAUGUAACUCAAAUGUGAAUUACAUAUUUGUGUUUGAAACAAUAAACUGUCUACUCUAUUAA